rnacentral:rRNA from 1 species
GGUUAAGCGACUAAGCGUACACGGUGGAUGCCCUGGCAGUCAGAGGCGAUGAAGGACGUGCUAAUCUGCGAUAAGCGUCGGUAAGGUGAUAUGAACCGUUAUAACCGGCGAUUUCCGAAUGGGGAAACCCAGUGUGAUUCGUCACACUAUCAUUAACUGAAUCCAUAGGUUAAUGAGGCGAACCGGGGGAACUGAAACAUCUAAGUACCCCGAGGAAAAGAAAUCAACCGAGAUUCCCCCAGUAGCGGCGAGCGAACGGGGAGGAGCCCAGAGCCUGAAUCAGUGUGUGUGUUAGUGGAAGCGUC